GAUAAACGCUGGCGGCGUGCCUAAAACAUGCAAGUCGAGCGGAAACACUUCGGGUGUCGAGCGGCGGACGGGUGAGUAACGCGUAGAAACAUACCCCAAAGUGAGGGAUAAGCUCCGGAAACGGUGUCUAAUACCGCAUAUGGUCUUUGGAUUAAAGCCUUCGGGCGCUUUGGGAAUGGUCUGCGUAGGAUUAGCUAGUUGGUAAGGUAAAAGCUUACCAAGGCGACGAUCCUUAGUUGGUCUGAGAGGAUGAUCAGCCACACUGGAACUGAGACACGGUCCAGACUCCUACGGGAGGCAGCAGUUGGGAAUUUUCCACAAUGGGGGCAACCCUGAUGGAGCAACGCCGCGUGCAGGAUGAAGGCUUUCGGGUCGUAAACUGCUUUUAUAAGUGAAGAAUAUGACGGUAACUUAUGAAUAAGGGACUGCUAACUACG
rnacentral:rRNA from 1 species